rnacentral:rRNA from 1 species
UCGGGAAUAUUGCGCAAUGGAGGAAACUCUGACGCAGUGACGCCGCGUAUAGGAAGAAGGUUUUCGGAUUGUAAACUAUUGUCGUUAGGGAAGAAAAAGACAGUACCUAAGGAGGAAGCUCCGGCUAACUACGUGCCAGCAGCCGCGGUAAUACGUAGGGAGCAAGCGUUAUCCGGAUUUAUUGGGUGUAAAGGGUGCGUAGACGGGCGAUCAAGUUAGUUGUGAAAUCCCUCGGCUCAACUGAGGAACUGCAACUAAAACUGGUUGUCUUGAGUGCAGGAGAGGUAAGUGGAAUUCCUAGUGUAGCGGUGAAAUGCGUAGAUAUUAGGAGGAACACCAGUGGCGAAGGCGACUUACUGGACUGUAACUGACGUUGAGGCUCGAAAGCGUGGGGAGCAAACAGGAUUAGAUACCC